UGAAGCACUAACUGUAAGUCUCUCUGGAUAAGAGAGUCUGCAAAAUGACUAACA
rfam:Salmo salar isolate Sally breed double haploid chromosome ssa18, whole genome shotgun sequence.